rnacentral:rRNA from 1 species
GAUGAACGCUGGCGGCGUGCCUAAUACAUGCAAGUCGAGCGAAUGGAUUGAGAGCUUGCUCUUAUGAAGUUAGCGGCGGACGGGUGAGUAACACGUGGGUAACCUGCCCAUAAGACUGGUAUAACUCCGGGAAACCGGGGCUAAUACCGGAUAACAUUUUGAACCGCAUGGUUCGAAAUUGAAAGGCGGCUUCGGCUGUCACUUAUGGAUGGACCCGCGUCGCAUUAGCUAGUUGGUGAGGUAACGGCUCACCAAGGCAACGAUGCGUAGCCGACCUGAGAGGGUGAUCGGCCACACUGGGACUGAGACACGGCCCAGACUCCUACGGGAGGCAGCAGUAGGGAAUCUUCCGCAAUGGAUGAAAGUCUGACGGAGCAACGCCGCGUGAGUGAUGAAGGCUUUCGGGUCGUAAAACUCUGUUGUUAGGGAAGAACAAGUGCUAGUUGAAUAAGCUGGCACCUUAACGGUACCUAACCAGAAAGCCACGGCUAACUACGUGCCAGCCGCCGCAGUAA